rnacentral:misc_RNA from 1 species
GUGAAUCAUCAAAUUUUUGAACGCAGAUUGCACUUUCUGGUAUUCCGGUAAGUAUGUCUGUUUGGGGGUCAGUUAAAUAAUAAUCGGUGUUGUUGCUGCCUUUCGUGGUGACUCGUGGGAUUUGGGUCGUUUUACCUUCGGUUAAGUGAUUUAAAAUUUUGUAUUAUUCUCGAUGGUAUUUAAAUUUCUUACGUACGUUUUAGUUAUCGUAUACUUUAUUAGGUUAGGUCAUUUUAAUGCUUGGUACCUAUAAUUUUUCAUUUAAUGUCAUCAAA